rnacentral:rRNA from 1 species
UACGGAGGGGGCGAGCGUUGAUCGGAAUUACUGGGCGUAAAGCGCACGUAGGCGGCGACUUAAGUCGGGUGUGAAAUCCCGGGGCUCAACCUGGGAAUUGCAUUCGAGACUGGAUUGCUGGAGUACGGAAGAGGAGGGCGGAAUUCCCGGUGUAGAGGUGAAAUUCGUAGAUAUCGGGAAGAACACAGGUGGCGAAGGCGGCCCCCUGGUCCAGUACUGACGCUCAAGCGCGAAAGCGUGGGGAGCAAACAGG